GCCGCGUGAGUGAUGAAGGCCUUAGGGUUGUAAAGCUCUUUUACCCGGGAUGAUAAUGACCGUACCGGGAGAAUAAGCUCCGGCUAACUCCGUGCCAGCAGCCGCGGUAAUACGGAGGGAGCUAGCGUUGUUCGGAAUUACUGGGCGUAAAGCGCACGUAAGCGGCUAUUCGAGUCAGAGGUGAAAGCCGGGGGCUCAACCCGAGAACUGCCUUUGAAACUGGAUAUCUUGAAUCCAGGAGAGGUGAGUGGAAUUCCGAGUGUAGAGGUGAAAUUCGUAUAUAUUCGGAAGAACACCAUUGGCGAAGGCGGCUCACUGGACUGGUAUUGACGCUGAGGUGCGAAAGCGUGGGGAGCAAACAGGAUUAAAUACCCUGGUAGUCCACGCCAUAAACGAUGAUGACUAUCUGUCCGGGCACAUGGUGUUUUGGUGGCGCAGCUAACGCAUUAACUUAUCCGCCUGGGGAGUACGGUCGCAAGAUUAAAACUCAAAGGAAAUUGACGG
rnacentral:rRNA from 1 species